AGAAACUAACAAGGAUUCCCCUAGUAACGGCGAGUGAAGCGGGAAGAGCUCAAAUUUAAAAUCUGGCAGUGUAUUCUGUCCGAGUUGUAGUCUAGAGAAGCAUCAUCCGUGCUGGACCAUGUACAAGUCUCUUGGAACAGAGCGUCAUAGAGGGUGAGAAUCCCGUCCUUGACAUGGACUGCCAGUACUUUGUGUUGUGCUCUCAACGAGUCGAGUUGUUUGGGAAUGCAGCUCAAAAUGGGUGGUAAAUUCCAUCUAAAGCUAAAUAUUGGCGAGAGACCGAUAGCGAACAAGUACCGUGAGGGAAAGAUGAAAAGCACUUUGGAGAGAGAGUUAAACAGUACGUGAAAUUGUUGAAAUGGAAACGCUUGAAGUCAGUCGCGUUCUCUGGGAUUCAGCCUUGCUUUUGCUUGGUGCAUUUCCUAGUCUACGGGCCAGCAUGAAUUUUGACCAAUGGAAAAAGAUUUGGGGAAUGUGGCACCUUCGGGUGUGUUAUAGCCCCUUGUCAGAUACAUUGGUUGGGAUUGAGGUCUUAGUGCACGCUUCGGUUGUGC
rnacentral:rRNA from 1 species